rnacentral:rRNA from 1 species
UCGGUUGAUCCUGCCGGAGGUUACUGCUAUCGGUGUUCGCCUAAGCCAUGCGAGUCAUAUGUUUUUCGUGAACAUGGCGUACUGCUCAGUAACACGUGGAUAACCUGCCCUUGGGUCCGGCAUAACCCCGGGAAACUGGGGAUAAUUCCGGAUAACGCACAUAUGCUGGAAUGCUUUUUGCGUAAAAUGGAUUCGUCUGCCCAAGGAUGGGUCUGCGGCCUAUCAGGUAGUAGUGGGUGUAAUGUACCUACUAGCCUACGACGGGUACGGGUUGUGAGAGCAAGAGCCCGGAGAUGGAUUCUGAGACAUGAAUCCAGGCCCUACGGGGCGCAGCAGGCGCGAAAACUUUACAAUGCGGGAAACCGUGAUAAGGGGACACCGAGUGCCAGCAUCAUAUGCUGGCUGUCCGGGUGUGUAAAAUACACCUGUUAGCAAGGGCCGGGCAAGACCGGUGCCAGCCGCCGCGGUAACACCGGCGGCCCGAGUGGUGAUCGUGAUUAUUGGGUCUAAAGGGUCCGUAGCCGGUUUGGUCAGUCCUCCGGGAAAUCUGACAGCUUAACUGUUAGGCUUUCGGAGGAUACUGCCAGACUUGGAACCGGGAGAGGUAAGAGGUACUACAGGGGUAGGAGUGAAAUCUUGUAAUCCCUGUGGGACCACCUGUGGCGAAGGCGUCUUACCAGAACGGGUUCGACGGUGAGGGACGAAAGCUGGGGGCACGAACCGGAUUAGAUACCCGGGUAGUCCCAGCCGUAAACGAUGCUCGCUAGGUGUCAGGCAUGGCGCGACCGUGUCUGGUGCCGCAGGGAAGCCGUGAAGCGAGCCACCUGGGAAGUACGGCCGCAAGGCUGAAACUUAAAGGAAUUGGCG